UAGAGCAUAUGAUGCGCACGCACAUGUGAGCCAUUUGAUGUGCCACAUCAUUUAAUGAAAUGAAUCCAACGUGCAAGGAUUUUUCCUAUUUUCUGAUUUUUCUAUUUUUUUUUCUUUAUUUCAUUUUAUUUCAAAAAUUCAUAUCUCUUUUUUUUUAAAUCCAAAAAAUAUGGGACCAGUUGCGUUAUUUUCCUUUUUAAUUAUAGUUUCU
rnacentral:lncRNA from 1 species